AGUGGCGGACGGGUGAGUAACGCGUAAGAAUCUAACUUCAGGACGGGGACAACAGUUGGAAACGACUGCUAAUACCCGAUGUGCCGCGAGGUGAAACCUAAUUGGCCUGAAGAAGAGCUUGCGUCUGAUUAGCUAGUUGGUGGGGUAAAGGCCUACCAAGGCGACGAUCAGUAGCUGGUCUGAGAGGAUGAGCAGCCACACUGGGACUGAGACACGGCCCAGACUCCUACGGGAGGCAGCAGUGGGGAAUUUUCCGCAAUGGGCGAAAGCCUGACGGAGCAACGCCGCGUGAGGGAGGAAGGUCUUUGGAUUAUAAACCUCUUUUCUCAAGGAAGAAGUUCUGACGGUACUUGAGGAAUCAGCCUCGGCUAACUCCGUGCCAGCAGCCGCGGUAAUACGGGGGAGGCAAGCGUUAUCCGGAAUUAUUGGGCGUAAAGCGUCCGCAGGUGGUCAGCCAAGUCUGCUGUCAAAUCAGGUUGCUUAACGACCUAAAGGCGGUGGAAACUGGCAGACUAGAGAGCAGUAGGGGUAGCAGGAAUUCCCAGUGUAGCGGUGAAAUGCGUAGAGAUUGGGAAGAACAUCGGUGGCGAAAGCGUGCUACUGGGCUGUAUCUGACACUCAGGGACGAAAGCUAGGGGAGCGAAAGGGAUUAGAUACCCCUGUAGUCCUAGCCGUAACGAUGGAUACUAGGCGUGGCUUG
rnacentral:rRNA from 1 species